rnacentral:rRNA from 1 species
AUUGAACGCUGGCGGCAGGCUUAACACAUGCAAGUCGAGCGAGCGGCGGAAGGGUGAGUAAUGGCUGGGAAACUGCCUGAUGGAGGGGGAUAACUACUGACAACGGUAGCUAAUACCGCAUACCAUCAGAUGUGCCCAGAUGGGAUUAGCUAGUAGGUGGGUUAAUGGCUCACCUAGGCUACGAUCCCUAGCUGGUCUGAGUGGAUGACCAGCCACACUGGAACUGAGACACGGUCCAUACUCCUACGGGAGGCAGCAGGGGGGAAUAUUGCACAAUGGGCGCAAGCCUGAUGCAGCCAUGCCGCGGGUGGGAAGAAGGCCUUCGGGUUGUAAAGCACUUUCAGCGAGGAGGCGUUACUCGCAGAAGAAGCACCGGCUAACUCCGUGCCAGCAGCCGCGGUAAUAC